rnacentral:tRNA from 1 species
GCCUCCAUAGCUCAGUGGAUAUAGCGCUGGUCUAGUAAACCAAGGGUCAGCAACGCGAUAUUCCCUGGAGGCA